ACACGACUACAUUAGAUACCCGGGUAGUCCUAGCCGUAAACGAUACUCGCUAGGUGUCGGCCACGGUGCGACCGUUGUCGGUGCCGUAGGGAAGCCGUGAAGCGAGCCACCUGGGAAGUACGGCCGCAAGGCUGAAACUUAAAGGAAUUGGCGGGGAGCACAACAACGGGUGGAGCUUGCGGUUUAAUUGGACUCAACGCCGGAAAACUCAUCGGGAGCGACAGCAGUAUGAUUGCCAGGUUGAUGACCUUGCUUGACAAGCUG
rnacentral:rRNA from 1 species